UACGGCCGUAUCAAUUUUGAGACAUCGGUUUUCGUACGAUCACCGAAGUUAAGGAGCGUCGAGCCUGCUCAUUACCAAGAUGGGUGACCACUUGGGUAAUACCAGAUGCUGUAAG